CGCAACCGGCCUGCCUGACGAACCGCGACAGGGGAGCAAGGAAGGCUGAAUUAAUCCAGUUCCUCGGGGAGGUUUAAACAGGAAGAAAGCCGCCCCACGCACAUCGCUCCAAAGAAGGGGCUUUUAAAACAGGUUGAAGAAACGGGGCGCAGCUUUGCUGCAAUCCCCUUCAACACAACACAAGAGCAUUCUGCAACGAACUAUCCAAUACUUGAGGAAGAAAUGCAUAAAUGAAAGAGAAUCUGACAUUAAGCAAUUCUGCAAGUUCCUCUUGGCUUUGCCUCUCCUCUUCUCAGAAUCCAUCAGGAACAUCUUAUAAGAGAUGGGAUAUGAGAAGAAGACACCAUUUGUUUUAUUUUAAGAGAAGAUAAUAAGUUAUUAAAAUUGUUUAUACUUGU
rnacentral:lncRNA from 1 species